rnacentral:rRNA from 1 species
CACGCCGCGUGGAUGAGGACGCAUUUCGGUGUGUAAACUCCUUUUAUAUGUCAGAUAAUGACGGUAGCAUAUGAAUAAGCACCGGCUAACUCCGUGCCAGCAGCCGCGGUAAUA